rnacentral:rRNA from 1 species
AGUGAACGCUGGCGGUAGGCCUAACACAUGCAAGUCGAACGGCAGCACAGUAAGAGCUUGCUCUUACGGGUGGCGAGUGGCGGACGGGUGAGGAAUACAUCGUAAUCUACUUUUUCGUGGGGGAUAACGUAGGGAAACUUACGCUAAUACCGCAUACGACCUACGGGUGAAAGCAGGGGAUCUUCAGACCUUGCGCGAUUGAAUGAGCCGAUGUCGGAUUAGCUAGUUGGCGGGGUAAAGGCCCACCAAGGCGACGAUCCGUAGCUGGUCUGAGAGGAUGAUCAGCCACACUGGAACUGAGACACGGUCCAGACUCCUACGGGAGGCAGCAGUGGGGAAUAUUGGACAAUGGGCGCAAGCCUGAUCCAGCCAUACCGCGUGGGUGAAGAAGGCCUUCGGGUUGUAAAGCCCUUUUGUUGGGAAAGAAAAGCAGCAGGUUAAUACCCCGCUGUUCUGACGGUACCCAAAGAAUAAGCACCGGCUAACUUCGUG